rnacentral:rRNA from 1 species
AUUGAACGCUGGCGGCAUGCCUUACACAUGCAAGUCGAACGGCAGCACGGGAGCAAUCCUGGUGGCGAGUGGCGAACGGGUGAGUAAUGUAUCGGAACGUGCCUUGUCGUGGGGGAUAACGUAGCGAAAGCUACGCUAAUACCGCAUACCAUCUAAGGAUGAAAGCGGGGGAUCGCAAGACCUCGCGCGACAAGAGUGGCCGAUAUCAGAUUAGGUUGUUGGUGGGGUAAAGGCCUACCAAGCCGACGAUCUGUAGCUGGUCUGAGAGGACGACCAGCCACACUGGGACUGAGACACGGCCCAGACUCCUACGGGAGGCAGCAGUGGGGAAUUUUGGACAAUGGGCGAAAGCCUGAUCCAGCAAUGCCGCGUGCGGGAUGAAGGCCUUCGGGUUGUAAACUGCUUUUGUACUAGAACGAAACAGUCUCUCCUAAUACGGGGGGCGAAGUGACGGUACUGUAAGAAUAAGCACCGGCUAACUAACGUGCCAGCAGCCGCGGUAAUC